ensembl:lncRNA
CUUGAAAAGUAGGAAGUAGAGUUCUCUUUUUAUAUUUAGUCAUCUAAAAAUAAGAAAACCUGAAUAAAUACAUUAGCUGGUAAAGUAGCCUUGGAAUCACCUUUCCUGUGGGUGCACUGACAGAAUUUUAGUUCUUAUCUGUGUACCUGUUCCUAGAUAUUUGGUGUCAAAUAGCUAAAUCAUUUCAAAUAACCAACUCAGCUUUCAAUCUUUCAGGUAGAUACUGUGGAAAGAAUCUCUGGAUUUGAGAGCAACUUGAAUUUCAGUGAUUUGUAUUGUUGGUAAAUUAUUCCAUUUGCUCUGAUUCGUUCAUGCUGGGAGAGAAAAUGCAGUGUGCCUAUCUCAACCUCCCCAUGUACAACAGUACUGAUUAUUGAACCAUGGUUGGUUUGAAUCAGUUGGUGCUAUGCAAAAGAGAUGGAAAAAAGAAUAUAAGUCCUUCCACUGUGAAGAAACAGUUCACACUAGGAUAGAAGUGGGUAACAGCAGUGGAAUGAGGUAAUUUUAAGAUAUUCUCGAGGCAAAAAUUAAUAUUCUCCAAAGUAUUUUGGUAACAGGCACAUUUUAAAUUUUCCUGUGUAAGUGGGUUUUUGCAAAUCAAUAACUAAGCCCAGAGGUCUGAGAUUAUGGGAACAAAUCUAGUUUGUUUUAUAUGGUUUCCAUAAACCUUAAAAUAUUACUGUGAGAGGAAGAAAAGUUCAUGGCUUUAAUCUAUCAGCGUCACUGCAUAGUAGAUCUAGAAGGUUUUCUAGGAUAUCUUAGGGUUCUCAGACAAGAUGAAGCCAUUUCCUUCCUUUACAUGACAGAUAAACAGGCAUUCCUUGGAUUGCACAAAGUUUAAGGAUUGUAGUCUAAAGGAAAGUGGCUAGACAUUUUGUACAAAAUAAUGAUAUUGGAUUUGCAGCUAAAUGGGUUUGGACUUAGUUGGAAGUUGGCUGGGCAAUGAACUGAGUGUGUCUGUCCUUUACAGACGAUUUCUCUACAAAAAUAGCUGGCGGCAAAGAUGUGGUCUUGUUUGAGUUCAGUCUCACAUUAGUGAAAGACUCUAGAAAAUACAGGGAACUAGUGAAAAAAAGAUACGUGUUCUUUGGGGAUAUCAUAACAUGUUUACUUCAGCUCUUUCUUUAAUCCAGUAAAAG